GACGAACGCUGGCGGCGUGCUUAACACAUGCAAGUCGAACGGUAAGGCCCUUCGGGGUACACGAGUGGCGAACGGGUGAGUAACACGUGGGUGAUCUGCCCUGCACUUCGGGAUAAGCCUGGGAAACUGGGUCUAAUACCGGAUAGGACUCCGGACUGCAUGGUCUGGGGUGGAAAGCUUUUGCGGUGUGGGAUGGGCCCGCGGCCUAUCAGCUUGUUGGUGGGGUGAUGGCCUACCAAGGCGACGACGGGUAGCCGGCCUGAGAGGGUGACCGGCCACACUGGGACGGAGAUACGGCCCAGACUCCUACGGGAGGCAGCAGGGGGGAAUAUUGCACAAUGGGCGCAAGCCCGAUACAGCGACGCCGCGUGAGGGAUGACGGCCUUCGGGUUGUAAACCUCUUUCAGCACCGACGAAGCGCAAGUGACGGUAGGUGCAGAAGAAGGACCGGCCAACUACGUGCCAGCCGCCGCCGUAA
rnacentral:rRNA from 1 species